rnacentral:rRNA from 1 species
AACGAACGCUGGCGGCAUGCCUAACACAUGCAAGUCGAACGAGACCUUCGGGUCUAGUGGCGCACGGGUGCGUAACGCGUGGGAACCUGCCCUUAGGUUCGGAAUAACUCCCCGAAAGGGGUGCUAAUACCGGAUAAUGCCUUCGGACCAAAGAUUUAUCGCCUUUGGACGGGCCCGCGUUGGAUUAGCUAGUUGGUAGGGUAAAAGCCUACCAAGGCGACGAUCCAUAGCUGGUCUGAGAGGAUGAUCAGCCACACUGGGACUGAGACACGGCCCAGACUCCUACGGGAGGCAGCAGUGGGGAAUAUUGGACAAUGGGCGAAAGCCUGAUCCAGCAAUGCCGCGUGAGUGAUGAAGGCCUUAGGGUUGUAAAGCUCUUUUACCCGGGAUGAUAAUGACAGUACCGGGAGAAUAAGCUCCGGCUAACUCCGUG